ensembl:lncRNA
CUCUGUGUCAGUCAGCGCAGUAUUUCUGAGUUAUUUAUUUUGGUAGGAACCAAAGUUCUCUAAGGCGGAACCUUUGUUUUUGUAUCGCCCGUUUCCGUCAGGACAUACUUUAGCGUAACACUCAUCAAAAAGUCCGCUGAUUUAGUACAUGUUUUUCAGUGCUGAUGCAUCUGCAAAAUAGCUCUUAGCAUCAAGAUAAACAAUCCUACAGAGUAAUGCCAAGCUACACAACUUUCCUCAUGCAAUGCAGCUACUAAGUUUUCACGGUCUGGAUGAACCAAAUAAAUCCUGCCAGUAAACAAAAAGGAAACUCGUUGCUGUCGUUUGUACUGAGGGAAUUACACCCGUGUUGUUUUGUCUCCUUUGGAAAGAAUAAACCUCCAGGACUCGACUCCUGUGUGUGCCUCACUCAAAGAUACAAGACACAACGCAGAAAGACAUCGGUUACAUAUAUUUGAAAUUAUUAAUUGCAUCCCGUUUAACAAUAAUGCAAUAUAUUAGCAAAGUUACCUGCAAAACAAUUCCAUGGUAACGUCUCUGCCACCAGUCGGUGAGUGUAACUUGUUGACGGUCCCUAGAACAGGUAGCAGCCAGGCCCAGAACGUAAAUGACGUUGUUGCACAGACAUCGAUGGCGCCAACAUGUGUUUGUGAUUUUUCGCGAUACGGUGUCCUAAACCGUCCUCAACAUACUAAGCCAGUAAUGUAUUGCACUUAUGUUGAUGAAUCCGAAUGGGUGGUAAACCGAAUAUCCGGCGAAUAUCAAACCGGUGUUUCAGUUCAAGUGGUGACCGGUUUAACUGGUGACUUUCAGCCGAAUGCUUCGCUUGUUGUCAUGGCUAUGCCAGAUGUUGGAAAUCGGGACCAGACACGUAGCUGUCCUUGCGAUUGCCUCAUUGAUUUGUUA